UACAGAGGGUGCAAGCGUUAUUCGGAUUUACUGGGCGUAAAGCGCAUGUAGGCGGUUUGGUAAGUCUGGUGUGAAAUCCCCCGACUCAAUCGGGGAAGUGCAUUGGAUACUGCCAAACUAGAGUAUGGGAGAGGAGAGUGGAAUUCCUGGUGUAGAGGUGAAAUUCGUAGAUAUCAGGAGGAACAACAGAGGCGAAGGCGGCUCUCUGGACCAUAACUGACGCUGAGAUGCGAAAGCGUGGGGAGCAAAC
rnacentral:rRNA from 1 species